UACGUAGGGUGCGAGCGUUGUCCGGAAUUAUUGGGCGUAAAGGGCUCGUAGGCGGUCUGUUGCGUCGGGAGUGAAAACUCAGGGCUUAACCCUGAGCCUGCUUCCGAUACGGGCAGACUAGAGGUAUGCAGGGGAGAACGGAAUUCCUGGUGUAGCGGUGAAAUGCGCAGAUAUCAGGAGGAACACCGGUGGCGAAGGCGGGUCUCUGGGCCGUAACUGACGCUGAGGAGCGAAAGCGUGGGGAGCGAACAGG
rnacentral:rRNA from 1 species